rnacentral:lncRNA from 1 species
UUAAUCCCAUUGAUCCCAAUGACCUCAUUGACUGCAUUGAUCCCAUUGAUCCCAAUGACCUCACUGAUCCCAUUAACCCCAUUGACUUCCUUCAUCCCAUUGAUCCCAAUGACCCCAUUGAUCCCCAUGACUCCAAUUAUCCCAUUAAUCCCGUUGAUCUCAUUCAUUGCAAUGAUCCCAUUGGCCCCAUUGACUCCAUUGAUCCCAUUGAUCCCCAUGACCCCAUUGAUCCCAUUGACUGAAACGACCCCACAGCUACCUGGGCCGGAAGCGGCUGGAGCCGGAGCGCUCGGAGCGCGGCGUCUGUCCCUGUCCCAUUGAUCCCAUUGAUCCAUUGAUCCCAAUGACCCCAUUGAUCCCAAUGACACCAGUGAUCCCAUUGACUGUAAUGAUCCAAAUCCCACUGAUCUCACUGAUCCCAUUGACCACAUUGGUGCUAUUGAUCCCAUUCAUUCUAAUGAUAACAGUGACACCAUUGGUAUCAUUGAUCCCAUUGACUCCAUUGAUCCCAAUGACUUCAUUGAUACCAAUUAUACCAUUAAUCGCAUUGAUCCCAGUGACUCCAUUGAUCCCAUUGACUGCAUUGAUCUCGUUUGUUGCAAUUAUACCAAUGAUCCCAUUGAUCCCAAUGUCCCCAUUGACCCUAAUUAUCCCAUUAAUUCCAUUGAUUCCAAUGACCCCAUUGAUCCCAUUGAUCCCAUUCAUCGCAAUGAUACCAAUGAUCCCAUUGGCCCCAUUGAUCCCAAUGACCUCAUUCAUCCCAUUCAUCCCAAUGAUACCAUUAAUCUUAUUGAUCCCAAUGACCCCACUGACCCCAUUGACCUCAUGCAUCCCAAUCAUCUCAUUGAUCCCAAUUAUCCUAUUAAUCCCAUUGACCCCCAUGACCCCAUUGAUCUCACUGACCCCAUUGACUGAAAUAACCCUGCUGGCCCCACAGCUACCUGGGCCGGAAGCGGCUGGAGCCGGAGCGCCCGCAAGCUGCUGGCGGCCGAGCCCCUGGGCAAGAUGAUCCCCGUGGACGAGUUCCUGCCCCUCAUGUUCGACCGGCACCCCAGGU